rnacentral:rRNA from 1 species
AUUGAACGCUGGCGGCAUGCCUUACACAUGCAAGUCGAACGGUAACAGGUCUUCGGAUGCUGACGAGUGGCGAACGGGUGAGUAAUACAUCGGAACGUGCCCGAGAGUGGGGGAUAACGAAGCGAAAGCUUUGCUAAUACCGCAUACGAUCUCAGGAUGAAAGCAGGGGACCGCAAGGCCUUGCGCUCACGGAGCGGCCGAUGGCAGAUUAGGUAGUUGGUGGGAUAAAAGCUUACCAAGCCGACGAUCUGUAGCUGGUCUGAGAGGACGACCAGCCACACUGGGACUGAGACACGGCCCAGACUCCUACGGGAGGCAGCAGUGGGGAAUUUUGGACAAUGGGCGCAAGCCUGAUCCAGCCAUGCCGCGUGCAGGAUGAAGGCCUUCGGGUUGUAAACUGCUUUUGUACGGAACGAAAAGACUCUGGUUAAUACCUGGGGUCCAUGACGGUACCGUAAGAAUAAGCACCGGCUAACUACGUGCCAGCAGCCGCGGUAAUACGUAGGGUGCAAGCGUUAAUCGGAAUUACUGGGCGUAAAGCGUGCGCAGGCGGUGAUGUAAGACGGAUGUGAAAUCCCCGGGCUCAACCUGGGAACUGCAUUCGUGACUGCAUCGCUGGAGUGCGGCAGAGGGGGAUGGAAUUCCGCGUGUAGCAGUGAAAUGCGUAGAUAUGCGGAGGAACACCGAUGGCGAAGGCAAUCCCCUGGGCCUGCACUGACGCUCAUGCACGAAAGCGUGGGGAGCAAA